AUUCAUACUUCAACAUUUAAAAAAUAAGGUCGGAUGCUGUGUUUCUGUUUUGAAUUUUUCUUACUCCAUUUAAAAAUAACCUUAGGGCAGACGUAAAACCUACCUAAAUUUCUUCCACAAUAUAUAAUCUAAGAGUGAAAGCAAAAUAGAUAACUUUCACCAUGUGUAACUCAAUAUUUUUAAAGAUGUGUAACUCUACCCCUUCUGUUUAAGUAGUAAAUUCACUUUGAACACCAAGAAAUCGCUUAUAAGAUUCAUUUUUUCCAUUUUUGUACAAGAAAUCAAUAAUAAGCCUUGAAAGAAGUAAAAACUAAUUAGAAAAAAAGGAAAAUAAGGGGGGAAAAAUUUGGUCCCAGUAGGGCUUGAACCUACGCCCCCCUAAGAGUUGCUGUCAAAGUAGGUUUAUGGAAGGAAUUGAAUACUCUUCAAAAAGGAGGUUCUCUAUUAGUGAUCUAAUACCUUAAGGCAAGUCUACUGUGACGUCAUUCAGUUUUAUGUCAUUUGUGAUGUCACUUUCAAAUCGGACGCGAUAGAAAAGUGUAGUGUGUUUUCAAAGCAGUAGUUUUAUGGAAAUUAAUUUUGGAAAGGGUGAUAUAUCGAGGAUAAUUCUUUGAAAUACAUUCAAUGGGAAGGAAGGAUUUUUAAAUCGUAGAAUACAGGUUAUUUUUUGAGCCAUGCGUAUGAAAAAUGGUGUAGAGUCUAAUCAACGCAUUGUUUCAUAUGUAUGGUGCAAUUGGUGCCUGAAUAUCAUCUAGAGUGCCGGAGCCACUUACUGAGUGUAAUUGUUCGACAUAGAACAAAAAUGAAGUUGUAUUCCGAUUGGACGGUGGAAAAAUAAACUGGGAAUUGAUAAUUUGUAGAAAUCUAAACCGGACCUUGGGAUACAGCAUACAGUUAACUUGGAAUUUGAAAGUUGCAUCUGCUCCAGUUUUGUCACCGUGCAUCCAAGUUGAUGUUAACCGAUGGGAUGGGACAGACUGACAUGUUGACAGAAGUGAAAGAUGGUCUGAUGGUACAAUGAUGUACAAAUGAUACUCUUUAACAAGUUUAACAUGUCAAAGAUAUAUACCUGUGAAAUCUUCAGUGUCACCGUUCAUCUAUUGUUCAAGAUCAGUGUCUGCAGCUUGCGCAGUUUAGUAUAGAGGAACCUUCUGAAUCAAUUUUGUUACAUAUUUGCUGUUAUUGUAGGACGCAUAUGUAGAGAGCAACAAGUCCUGUCCAACUGUGCAUGUAAAUGUGAUUCAGAAACUUUGAGAAUAUGUAAACAUUACACUGUUAUAAUUUUCAAAAUACUGUGUCUUCGACUUGUAGUGUAUCAGUACUGUUUUGUCUCAGUUUAUAGCACAGUAUGUUCACAAAUCAAACUUAAGAUCUUAGUUAUCAUUAUUAUUAAAAUCAUUAAUUAUUUGUAUGGUGACAAAAUUUAAUGUCAUGCAAUACCACAGUAAAACGUUUGAUAAUUUUCGUUUUUAAAGUUGUAAGUUUGAAGUUGGCAUAAAUUGUUUUUCUCCUUCAUUAAUCUAAAAAGUGAUUGGUCAUUAUAAUUGCAAUAUCAUUUUAGUGUGACAAAGUUUAUAUUGAACUGAAAUGCUAAUGUAAAUUUUUGAACUAUUCAAUGCAUUUUCUUCAGUCUUAAAACAUUUGUUUAUCGUACAUGUCAUGGCCCAUAACUCCUCCAUAUUACUUGUGUUUUGUCCUUUUUCGUUUCUCUGAAGGAUAGGUAGAGGUAUUGCACAUCCAUUUUUUAGCAUCCUGAUUUUGUAAAGUGUUGUAUGUAAGGUUUUAUCUCGGAAUUAUGUCUCAUCAAAAGGUGGGGAGAGGUAUUGUUUAUGCCUUCUCGUCUAUCCGCAUUAAGCCUGUCUGGCUUUAAGAGGACAAGUUGCUGGCCAGAUUUUGAUAAAACUUCACAGGAAUGAUCAGUACCAAGCAUAGUGUUGUGCAUAUCGAUUGCACGUUUCGUUUCGAUGCACUAAAUUGCAGCCAGAGCUAAAAGUAGAAAAAUCUUGUCGGCUUUCACAGGUCAAAACUACUUAACAGAUUUUGAUGAAACUUCACAGGAGUGAUCUGUAUCAAGUAUAUUUUUGCAUAUCAGCGACACUUUCCAUUUUGCUGCACAAAAUAGCCGCCAUAGCAUAAAGGUAUACAUAGGUGGGAGACAUGUUUUGUCAUAAAAAUACCUAAAACACCUUCCACUUUGUUAAUGAAAAAUGUAUUAAACUUCUUACAAUGGCAAACUGUAAUAAUCUGACACUAAAUGCACUAGUUACAUAACUGCAUUUGGCUUUUUUCAUAAUUAUUGCCCCUUUCUUACCAUAGCAAUAUUUUGUGUAACAUGUUACCUCAUUAAGCAUCAUAAGAUCAGAAAGUUCUAUGACUCAGAAAUGUUGGCCCUUUUGUACUUGUCAUGAGUAUGUUUUCAGUAUUUUAUAUUGUCAUUACUUUUUGUUGUGCGAGUUUACGGAAAUGAAGACUUAGUUGUCCAAAUGGUGUGCCUGUGCCUGUCCUGAUUUGUUUGUCUGGACAAUAUAUUAUUAAUUAGUCUUCACGAAACUUUGCAGGUUAAUUUCCUUAAGUUCCCUGUCAACUUUGAUAGUGGCAUGGUUACUUUAAAAGUGAUGUCAGCACUGUACUAGUCAAACGUUUUGUAUUUCAGAUUUUAUAUCACAUUACAGGCUACUGGUCUUUAGCAGCCUUCAUAAAACUUAUAAAAAAACUCAUAAAAGUUUCCAAUAAUAUUAUGUUGUAUUUUGAUUUGAACUGGCAUUAUUCAAACAUUAAGAAGUAGUAUUACAAGGCAACAUUUGACCUCUUUUCCAGUACUUUUUGAUUUUCUCUGUUACUAUGAAGUUGCCUUUUCCUAGAAAUUGGUUGGCUUAUUUUUUAUGAUCUUAUGUUUUUAAUGAAUUGUAGCUAUAUGUUCUUUUUCUCAUGAAAAUGUCCAUUUUUAUAUAAUUCAUAUUUUUUACUGUCAACAAAGUGCAAUACCACAUACUUAUCACUUUAUUAACAUACUUGUACUAUUUUCAUAAAACAUUAUAUAAAUCAUUAUAUUUCAUAUAAACAGAAUUAAAUAAAUAUUUAAGAACA